GUUUGGAUAGCUUAAAAUAAAGCGUCGACCUUGUAAAUCGAAAAUUGGAACGCGAUUUUUCCAUCCGGACA
rnacentral:tRNA from 1 species